UAUGUCGUCUGAUUGAACAUGGCGGCGUGGCAAAUUCACGAAUUUUUAGGAUUUUGUGUUCCAGUUGCCUUAUGAAAUUGACGAGACGAUAUGGAAGUACAAAGCACUGCAGAAGAUGAAGUGAAGUCGUGGCUUGCUGAGCUUUAUCCUGAUAAAAUUUCGCUGCCGAAGAAAGAUGAGAAAAUAGAAAAUUGUACUGCCGAACCGGCGAAAACAACAAGAACGCUUGUGUCAGCUUCAGGACUCAUAGACGAUGCCAUAAAGAAGCGUAUGAAAAGAAAAUGGACUUCCAUCACAAACAUCGAGAAAAAGCAACGUCCACACGACACAUCAGAUGAGCAAGAUAGCAAGUUGUGCAGCAUCAAGUCAACACAGGGUACAAAGCCCCUUGUUGCGAUGGUAGCGAAGCCACUUUCAAAAGCAGUUCGUCGAAGAUUGAAGAAGAAACGUUUGAAGGAGGCUGCUGCGAAAAAAAUGUCAAAUUAGAAGUGAAGUGCCAUAUCCUAUCAUCUGCUAACACAUAAACUAUCAGUGGUCACGUGAAGAAUGCGGAUGUGAAAGUGUUUGACACAGAACAAUGACGGCUACACGUACAAGGAAAGUCUGAGUAGAUAAAUUGUGGCCUGAAGGAAAAAUGUCAGAUGCCAGUUGAUGGGGAACACUCCAAACUAUUCUUGAUGAGACACUUUGAGGAAAGUCAUGCCUUGUCAAAAGCGAACAAAUAGCUGUACAGAGGAGACAAAGACUGGGAAAUUACAUUCCACAAGUGAAAGGGUGAUUUUGUACAGUAGCAUAAUAUGGAAACAAAAAUUAUUUGUCUCAAUGGAGGUGAGAUGCAACUACACAGCCAAACAAUGAUGUAUACGCGCAGGAUAUGUUUACGAAUGUUCUUGAGUGUGCCAAGGUGAUACUCUCUGAUGGAAAUUAGACAAAAUUCAUAUGGUGAUGAGAAUAGUGCAAACAUUUGUGGUUAUAUAAAGGUGCCUUGCAGUGAGCGUUAUGAGACAUACUGUCGUGACCAUAAAAUUCGUUACUAUUUUUGUACACAUCUCAUCAAGGAAUUCGUAGAACAUGUUCAGCUCAAACAUAUAUUUGUACAGAGUUCUUUUAUUGAUGGUCAUCAGCAAUAUGUGCAAGCCAAGACAUUAAAAGAACAUGUUCAUUCUCA